rnacentral:rRNA from 1 species
AAUAGAUACCCCGGUAGUCCACGCCGUAAACGAUGGAUGCUAGCUGUUACGCGUAUCGACCCGUGUAGUAGCGAAGCUAACGCGUUAAGCAUCCCGCCUGGGGAGUACGAACGCAAGUUUAAAACUCAAAGGAAUUGACGGGGGACCCGCACAAGCGGUGGAGCGUGUUCUUUAAUUCGAGGCUAAGCGAAGAACCUUACCAGGGCUUGACAUCCUUGGAAUUUCUCCGAAAGGAGAGAGUACUUUAUUGGACCAAGUGACAGGUGCUGCAUGGCCGUCGUCAGCUCGUGUCGUGAGAUGUUUGGUUAAGUUCAUUAACGAGCGCAACCCUUAUGAAUAGUUGUAUUUUUCUAUUCAGACUGCCCGGUAACGGGGAGAAGGGGGGAUGAUGUCAGGUCAGUAUUGCCCUUACGGCCCUGGGCUAGAAACGCGCUACAAUGGCCGGUACAAUGCGCUGCCAACCCGCGAGGGGAGCAAAUCGCAUCAAAGCCGGUCCCAGUUCGGAUAAGAGGCUGAAACUGCCUCUUGAGGCCGAAUCGCUAGUAAUCGU